CGGCCGGAUGGGUCCUCGGUGAAAUCCCACGUCAAAGCGUGGGGCUGGCCGGGGAAACUAUCUGGCUUGGGACCGGGAGAGGCCGGGGCUACUCCUGGGGUAGUGGUAAAAUACUGUAAUCCUAGGAGGAGCACCUGUGGCGAAAGCGCCCGGCUGGAACGGCUCCGACGGUGAGGGACGAAAGCUAGGGGAGCGAAGCGGAUUAGAUACCCGCGUAGUCCUAGCUGUUAACGAUGCCCGUUUGGUGUAGCAUCUCCUACGUGGAGGUGCUGUGCCGUAGCGUAGGUGUUAAACGGGCCGCCUGGGGA
rnacentral:rRNA from 1 species